UUUCAAAGAGUCGACUUACGAGGAAAUAACGUUGGGUAGGGCAAGCUUGAAACAAAUUGGAAGGCUCGUACUAGGUACGAAAAAACAACGACAAAUGAGCAUAUACGAUGGAGAACCUUUGUGGGGAGCUCAUCCCAAAAACAUGGAAUACAACCAAGUUGAAUCGCUACUACAACUAAGUCCUUUUUCUUGCUUUCAUUUUAUUUUC
rnacentral:lncRNA from 1 species